CUGUAUACCACUGGUGGGGUGUGCCGCCGCCACGCCACAUCCCAGCGAGCCUGCACGCGUCCUCCUCUCCUCACCCGUGGCCGUGGGAAUACAUCAGCGGCCACAAACAGCGGUCGCCGCAUCUGACGAGGGAGAAGCUCCCUGAUGGGUGAUCGGAAUCGGAAGGGGGGACGGACGAUGGUUGUGCCGCGCGGGCGAUCGAUCGAGGUCAUGGUGGACGCAGCCGAGGAGAUCGAUGAGACGGCCGAUCCAUCGAGGUGGACGCAGCCGAGGAGAUGAGAUGCUCGAUCGGCCAUCUCAUCUCAUCCAUCCUUCUAAUUCCCUAGGUUCCGCUCCGCAUAUGGAUGAGGUGAGAUGGAUGAUGGCAUAUGCUGGUUCGGUGGGUUUCUAGUUGUAGAGUAUGUCUAAAGAAUGGUUGUAGAAUAUAUCCAGCCCAUAUAUAUAUAUAAUAGUUACGGUAA